rnacentral:rRNA from 2 species
AGGGGGGGGUGCUUUACACAUGCAAGUCGAACGCUGAAGCCUGGUGCUUGCACCGGGUGGAUGAGUGGCGAACGGGUGAGUAACACGUGAGUAACCUGCCCCUGACUUCGGGAUAAGCCCGGGAAACUGGGUCUAAUACCGGAUACGACUGCCGGACGCAUGUCUGGUGGUGGAAAGUUUUUUCGGUUGGGGAUGGGCUCGCGGCCUAUCAGUUUGUUGGUGAGGUAAUGGCUCACCAAGACGACGACGGGUAGCCGGCCUGAGAGGGCGACCGGCCACACUGGGACUGAGACACGGCCCAGACUCCUACGGGAGGCAGCAGUGGGGAAUAUUGCACAAUGGGGGAAACCCUGAUGCAGCGACGCAGCGUGCGGGAUGACGGCCUUCGGGUUGUAAACCGCUUUCAGCAGGGAAGAAGCGCAAGUGACGGUACCUGCAGAAGAAGUACCGGCUAACUACGUGCCAGCAGCCGCGGUAAUACGUAGGGUACGAGCGUUGUCCGGAAUUAUUGGGCGUAAAGAGCUCGUAGGUGGUUGGUCACGUCUGCUGUGGAAACGCAACGCUUAACGUUGCGCGUGCAGUGGGUACGGGCUGACUAGAGUGCAGUAGGGGAGUCUGGAAUUCCUGGUGUAGCGGUGAAAUGCGCAGAUAUCAGGAGGAACACCGGUGGCGAAGGCGGGACUCUGGGCUGUAACUGACACUGAGGAGCGAAAGCAUGGGGAGCGAACAGGAUUAGAUACCCUGGUAGUCCAUGCCGUAAACGUUGGGCACUAGGUGUGGGGGGCAUUCCACGUUCUCCGCGCCGUAGCUAACGCAUUAAGUGCCCCGCCUGGGGAGUACGGUCGCAAGGCUAAAACUCAAAGGAAUUGACGGGGGCCCGCACAAGCGGCGGAGCAUGCGGAUUAAUUCGAUGCAACGCGAAGAACCUUACCAAGGCUUGACAUACACCGGACCGUCCUGGAAACAGGUCUUCUUCUUUGAAGCUGGUGUACAGGUGGUGCAUGGUUGUCGUCAGCUCGUGUCGUGAGAUGUUGGGUUAAGUCCCGCAACGAGCGCAACCCUCGUUCUAUGUUGCCAGCAUGUGAUGGUGGGAACUCAUAGGAGACUGCCGGGGUCAACUCGGAGGAAGGUGGGGAUGACGUCAAAUCAUCAUGCCCUUUAUGUCUUGGGCUUCACGCAUGCUACAAUGGCUGGUACAGAGAGAGGCGAACCCGUGAGGGCAAGCGAAUCCCUUAAAGCCAGUCUCAGUUCGGAUCGUAGUCUGCAAUUCGACUACGUGAAGUCGGAGUCGCUAGUAAUCGCAGAUCAGCAACGCUGCGGUGAAUACGUUCCCGGGCCUUGUACACACCGCCCGUCAAGUCACGAAAGUCGGUAACACCCGAAGCCGGUGGCCUAACCGUAAGGAGGGGGCCGUUUUAAGGGGGAUUGA